rnacentral:tRNA from 1 species
GCAGUCAUGGUUCAGUGGUAGAAUUCUUGCCUUUUAUGCAGGAGACCUGGGUUCGAUUCCUGGCCAGUGCA